GCAGUCGAGCGAAUGGAUUAAGAGCUUGCUCUUAUGAAGUUAGCGGCGGACGGGUGAGUAACACGUGGGUAACCUGCCCAUAAGACUGGGAUAACUCCGGGAAACCGGGGCUAAUACCGGAUAACAUUUUGAACCGCAUGGUUCGAAAUUGAAAGGCGGCUUCGGCUGUCACUUAUGGAUGGACCCGCGUCGCAUUAGCUAGUUGGUGAGGUAACGGCUCACCAAGGCAACGAUGCGUAGCCGACCUGAGAGGGUGAUCGGCCACACUGGGACUGAGACACGGCCCAGACUCCUACGGGAGGCAGCAGUAGGGAAUCUUCCGCAAUGGACGAAAGUCUGACGGAGCAACGCCGCGUGAGUGAUGAAGGCUUUCGGGUCGUAAAACUCUGUUGUUAGGGAAGAACAAGUGCUAGUUGAAUAAGCUGGCACCUUGACGGUACCUAACCAGAAAGCCACGGCUAACUACGUGCCAGCAGCCGCGGUAAUACGUAGGUGGCAAGCGUUAUCCGGAAUUAUUGGGCGUAAAGCGCGCGCAGGUGGUUUCUUAAGUCUGAUGUGAAAGCCCACGGCUCAACCGUGGAGGGUCAUUGGAAACUGGGAGACUUGAGUGCAGAAGAGGAAAGUGGAAUUCCAUGUGUAGCGGUGAAAUGCGUAGAGAUAUGGAGGAACACCAGUGGCGAAAGGCGACUU
rnacentral:rRNA from 1 species